rnacentral:rRNA from 1 species
AUGGGCUACGUCUACUACACCACGGUCUUCGUCGCCGUCGCCGUCUGGCUCGGCCUCGCCACGGCGGCCAGGAUCGCCAACGCUGCCGCCUUCACGACCCUUGCCUCCGCCUGCCUCGCCACCUACGCCGCCGCUGUCUCUCGGACCCUGGCCGGGUGCCGCCCGCCUUCCUGCCCGACGUCGAGAGCGCCGAGACCCCGUCCACGAGGUCAAGCGCAAGGUAUCAGUUCCUACCCAGAGUCUUGUUCCUACCUCGAGCUUCCCUCAGACACGGCUUCGGUUGGUCAUAGGUCGCUUGGUUGUUCAAGUAUGUUUGGUGGCUCUUCGUUUAGAGUUGAGAUGGACCAUGCACUGGUGGGUUCCAAAGAUAUAUCCAUAACUAUUAAUAACGGCUGCGAGGAGGUAGCCGAUGGGGUUCUGCGACCAGACGAGGGAAAGGGCGUCGAUCUCCCUCCUGCUCCCAAUCGCCGGCAUGACCACCAUCGACUAGAUCUUCACCACCUCCAACAAUUACCAGAGCUUUUGGGUGGUUUGUGCACAUGCUCAAACCAGGGAGGAUGCCUGAAGUCCAACAAAGGCCCUUGGAGUGACCCUUAA